rnacentral:rRNA from 1 species
AACGAACGCUGGCGGCAUGCCUAACACAUGCAAGUCGAACGAGACCUUCGGGUCUAGUGGCGCACGGGUGCGUAACGCGUGGGAACCUGCCCUUAGGUUCGGAAUAACUCCCCGAAAGGGGUGCUAAUACCGGAUAAUGUCUUCGGACCAAAGAUUUAUCGCCUUUGGAUGGGCCCGCGUUGGAUUAGCUAGUUGGUAGGGUAAAAGCCUACCAAGGCGACGAUCCAUAGCUGGUCUGAGAGGAUGAUCAGCCACACUGGGACUGAGACACGGCCAGACUCCUACGGGAGGCAGCAGUGGGGAAUAUUGGACAAUGGGCGAAAGCCUGAUCCAGCAAUGCCGCGUGAGUGAUGAAGGCCUUAGGGUUGUAAAGCUCUUUUACCCGGGAUGAUAAUGACAGUACCGGGAGAAUAAGCUCCGGCUAACUCCGUG